rnacentral:rRNA from 1 species
AUUGAACGCUGGCGGCAGGCUUAACACAUGCAAGUCGAACGGUAACAUAAAGGAGCUUGCUUCUUUGAUGACGAGUGGCGGACGGGUGAGCAAUGCUUGGGAAUCUAGCUGAUGGAGGGGGAUAACUACGGGAAACUGUCGCUAAUACCGCGUAGAAUCGGGAGAUGAAAGUGUGGGACCUUCGGGCCACAUGCCAUAGGAUGAGCCCAAGUGGGAUUAGGUAGUUGGUGAGGUAAAGGCUCACCAAGCCGACGAUCUCUAGCUGGUCUGAGAGGAUGACCAGCCACACUGGGACUGAGACACGGCCCAGACUCCUACGGGAGGCAGCAGUGGGGAAUAUUGCGCAAUGGGGGCAACCCUGACGCAGCCAUGCCGCGUGAAUGAAGAAGGCCUUCGGGUUGUAAAGUGCUUUCGGUAGCGAGGAAGGCAUUUAGUUUAAUAGACGAGGUGAAUGACGUUAACUACAGAAGAAGCACCGGCUAACUCCGUG